rnacentral:lncRNA from 1 species
UUUUGCAUCAGUUUUUAAACCAUUUUACCAAGUAUCCAUGCUUCAAAGUCAACACUUCCAUGUUUAAGAGGGAUCUAGCUUCUCCUGGCACAAAGUUUGGUAUUUUAAAAGAAGGGACUUUAUUAUCCAAGGCAGAGAUUCCUGAAGAACAGGUCUAGUACCAUCAUUUGAACAGAAAAACUCAUCAUCCUUCUGUGGGUGGGGUGAGCCACAUGCCUUGUGGUUUCACUUAAUUACUGUGCAGGAAUUGUGCUCUGGGGCCAAGCUACGGGUGCAUUUUGCUUUUCGUUGCAAUCUUAACAGGAAAUAAAGUCUGUGGACCUAAAAAAUUGUGCCCGCCAUUAAUGAGCUCUAUCUAUGUCUCACAGAGGCAAGCCAUGCAAACACUGGGUAUCAUUGAGGUACAGGGGAUUUUUCACUGUGAGUACACGGUCAUGAUUAAGUGGGCAGGCUUUGGAAUCUUUGGAUUUGAAUCUCAGGGCCACCACUUACUACAUGCAUGUGGAUAGGUCUAUCAACUUUUAGGAUUUUAAUUUUCUUACCUAUAAAAUGAGGCUUAUAUACCUACAUAUAGCAGGGCUAUAUAAAUGAAAGAAAAUGAUGUAUUUAAAGUAGCUAGUACUGUGAUUAUUAUAUGAUUCUCAAUACAUGAUGAUCAAUUUUUAUUAUUAAAAUGCGCCCAAGAUAAAUUUGCAUAUUUUCAAUAAUAACUUGGAAGCCAAGUGUGUGUUUGUAUAUAAAAUAUACUUUAACAAGAAAUCUUUCAUAAUUCAGAGAUCAUAAUAAAUUUUGAUAGAUAUUAUCAAUCUUUCAAGUAGGAGGUGCUUGUCUAUUCCGUUUUACAGAUGGAGAACCUGAAGCACAAAAAGUGAAUUUCCUGAUAUCACAAAAGAAAGUUUUCUUUUAGUGUUUUUAAUAAUAAAAUGAGGUCCAAGGUUGAAGUUAAAGAACGUGUUAAGUUGUAUCACAACCAAAGCAGACACACCGGUUUUGACCUGCGCUAGUUCAGUCCCUGCUUCGCUGAAAGGGUCGGCCUCCUCUUUUGAAGACAGGCGUUGCUUCGGAUUUGCAAAGAUUCAGAAACAGUCAAGGACAGCGCCUUCCUGAAAAACAGCCGCAGCAUUUAGCGCCAGAUUGUGAAGACAGAGGAGGAAAAUUACCUUUAGCAAACCUAACUAUCUGCAUGACAUUCUGCAUGCAUAAACAGAUAAACUGUUAGUUGAGAAACCAGAGUUUCUUCUAACAAAUGAAUUAAUAUAGCUGUUUAAUUCGUCUCCUUGUUCUAUAAAUACAAGCAGCUAUGAAGAAUGUGUCCAGUGUCUGCCGUGGUGGCUUCUGUGUGCGCGUGUGUUCUUUCUCAUGCGCUUCCUUGGUGGCAGGGUGCCCGGGGACUGUGGAGGGACAUCCUGACUGCCUCCCACUUCUCCUCCCCAGAACGCUUCACUGUUUCUGCUGAAAUCCCUCUAUUUAAAGGUAGCAUUCUCAGCACAUGCGGCUACUGAGAAUCUCACCGGCUCCGUUUCUACCUGCAAACUGCACUUGUGGGGUCUCUAACUCCAGGGGCAAGGUUCAUCCUUGCGUGUCCAUCCCUACGGUGUGUCCAGUAGUUUCCUGGAGAUGGAGCUUCUUGACAGAAGGAGGAGAUGUCGGAUGGAGAAUGAGAAGAGGAUUCCGG